rnacentral:lncRNA from 1 species
UCAGUUGCUGCAUGCUACUUGGGCAAGAAAUUUCCAGGAAGAAAGUUGUCGCAGUUGCUGCUACUUGAGCAAGAAAUUUCCAAGAAGAAAGUUGGAACAUACUACUACAGUACCGCGCAUACACCUGCGAUCGAUUGCACGCCAAAAAAGAAAAACUUGGAUUGUAGGAGUACGUGGCUGGCAACACGGACAAAUUAAUCUUGCAUAGGUGGCCUCCCACCCCUUCGGAAAGCUGAUACUGUACCAACAUGAUGUGGCUGCCCCCUACCGGAAUUAGGUAGCGAGAGCAACACACGGCUAUCUGAAUCGGAAUCCAUGUGCACGCGUAUGUGUAGCCCCCCGGCCCGGCCCCGGGCCUCUGCCCGCGCGCGGC